UCCCUACGGGUGGCAGCAGUGGGGAAUUUUGGACAAUGGGGGCAACCCUGAUCCAGCCAUGCCGCGUGAGUGAAGAAGGCCUUCGGGUUGUAAAGCUCUUUCAGCCGGGAAGAAAUCGCAUCUCCUAAUACGGGGUGUGGAUGACGGUACCGGAAUAAGAAGCACCGGCUAACUACGUGCCAGCAGCCGCGGUAAUACGUAGGGUGCGAGCGUUAAUCGGAAUUACUGGGCGUAAAGCGUGCGCAGGCGGUUUCGUAAGACAGAUGUGAAAGCCCCGGGCUCAACCUGGGAACUGCAUUUGUGACUGCGAGGCUAGAGUAUGGCAGAGGGGGGUGGAAUUCCACGUGUAGCAGUGAAAUGCGUAGAGAUGUGGAGGAACACCGAUGGCGAAGGCAGCCCCCUGGGCCAAUACUGACGCUCAUGCACGAAAGCGUGGGGAGCAAACAGGAUUAGAUACCCGUGUAGUCCCA
rnacentral:rRNA from 1 species